rnacentral:pre_miRNA from 1 species
AGAAUACUCCCUCCGUCCGGAAAUACUUGUCGAAGAAAUGCAUAAAAAUGGAUGUACCUAGAACUAAAAUACGUCUAGAUGCAUCCAUUCCUCCGACAAGUAUUUUCGGACGGAGGGAGUACAUC